UACGGGAGGCAGCAGUGGGGAAUAUUGGACAAUGGGCGAAAGCCUGAUCCAGCCAUGCCGCAUGAGUGAAGAAGGCCUUCGGGUUGUAAAGCUCUUUUAGUGAGAAAGAUAAUGACGGUACUCACAGAAGAAGUCCUGGCUAACUCCGUGCCAGCAGCCGCGGUAAUACGGAGGGUGCGAGCGUUAAUCGGAAUUACUGGGCGUAAAGGGCACGCAGGCGGUUAAUUAAGUUGGAUGUGAAAUCCCCGGGCUUAACCUGGGAAUGGCAUUCAAGACUGGUUAGCUAGAGUCUUGUAGAGGGGGUAGAAUUCCAUGUGUAGCGGUGAAAUGCGUAGAGAUGUGGAGGAAUACCGGUGGCGAAGGCGGCCCCUGGACAAGACUGACGCUCAUGUGCGAAAGCGUGGGGAGCAAACAGGGAUUAGAUACC
rnacentral:rRNA from 1 species